AUGGACGAAGACAUCAAACAGAACAUAGAAAAGGUUUCCAACAGCAGCACCCCACAAGACCUGGCAGACUUGAAAAGUCACCUUGGGGACUGGAUUGCAGGCUGUGGUAUCCCUGACAUCUACACUGCCACACUACCUGAUGAGUCAGAGAGCCGUGUCUCUCUACAGUCAGAGGGUUUUGUACGGCGCCUCAAUGAGUUUGUAUCACUGUGGUGGACUUUUGGUGGAGGAACCAGACUGGAUGUUGGAAGUGAUGCCCGCCCCGCCCUGAAGGUGCUGGGUCCCUCCAGUGAGGAGCUGAAAAAGGGGAAGGCCACGCUCAUGUGUCUGGCCAACAAGGGCUUCCCCUCAGACUGGAGUCUGUCCUGGAAGGAUGAUGGCAGUGGCAGCUUCAGCUGGGAGGAGAGCAGGAGCCCCGUGGUGCAGGAGAAUGACGGCCUCUACAGCUGGAGCAGCACCCUGAGGCUCCUUACAGAUCACUGGAUGAAGGUGGGCUCUGUGACCUGUGAGGCCACCCAGGGCUGCCAGACUGUGGUCUCAGAGCCACUGAGGAGAGACCAGUGUCCCCAGUCCUGA